rnacentral:rRNA from 1 species
GAUGAACGCUGGCGGCGUGCCUAAUACAUGCAAGUCGAGCGAACAGACGAGGAGCUUGCUCCUCUGACGUUAGCGGCGGACGGGUGAGUAACACGUGGAUAACCUACCUAUAAGACUGGGAUAACUUCGGGAAACCGGAGCUAAUACCGGAUAAUAUAUUGAACCGCAUGGUUCAAUAGUGAAAGACGGUUUUGCUGUCACUUCUAGCUGGAUCCGCGCCGCAUUAGCUAGUUGGUAAGGUAACGGCUUACCAAGGCAACCAUGCGUAGCCGACCUGAGAGGGUGAUCGGCCACACUGGAACUGAGACACGGUCCAGACUCCUAAGGGAGGCAGCAGUAGGGAAUCUUCCGCAAUGGGCGAAAGCCUGACGGAGCAACGCCGCGUGAGUGAUGAAGGUCUUCGGAUCGUAAAACUCUGUUAUUAGGGAAGAACAAAUGUGUAAGUAACUAUGCACGUCUUGACGGUACCUAAUCAGAAAGCCACGGCUAACUACGUG